GGGGUGAGGCUACGGUAUCAUUCAAGGGU
rnacentral:piRNA from 1 species